rnacentral:rRNA from 1 species
AGUGAACGCUGGCGGUAGGCCUAACACAUGCAAGUCGAACGGCAGCACAGUAAGAGCUUGCUCUUACGGGUGGCGAGUGGCGGACGGGUGAGGAAUACAUCGGAAUCUACUUUUUCGUGGGGGAUAACGUAGGGAAACUUACGCUAAUACCGCAUACGACCUACGGGUGAAAGCAGGGGAUCUUCGGACCUUGCGCGAUUGAAUGAGCCGAUGUCGGAUUAGCUAGUUGGCGGGGUAAAGGCCCACCAAGGCGACGAUCCGUAGCUGGUCUGAGAGGAUGAUAGGCCACACUGGAACUGAGCCACGGUCCAGACUCCUACGGGAGGCAGCAGUGGGGAAUAUUGGACAAUGGGCGCAAGCCUGAUCCAGCCAUACCGCGUGGGUGAAGAAGGCCUUCGGGUUGUAAAGCCCUUUUGUUGGGAAAGAAAAGCAGCAGGUUAAUACCCCGCCGUUCUGACGGUACCCAAAGAAUAAGCACCGGCUAACUUCGUG